GACUCUUAAUGGUAAAAUCUCUUUGCUUGAACAUCUAUGAAAAACACAGCCAGCUGCCAGAAUUAAUGUAAAUUGCAGAAUGCAUUGAUCAUCAACACAUUGAAUGCAAUUGAAACCCAGAGCUACACCUGUCUGAGCAGUG
ensembl:rRNA 5_8S_rRNA 5.8S ribosomal RNA